UACAGAGGGCGCAAGCGUUGUUCGGAUUCACUGGGCAUAAAGAGCACGUCGGCGGCUACGUAAGUCGGAUGUGAAAUCCCCCGGCUCAACCGGGGAAUGGCAUCCGAUACUGCGUGGCUCGAGGUUGGGAGGGGUGAGCGGAACUCCAGGUGGAACGGUGAAAUGUGUAGAUAUCUGGAGGAACACCGGUGGCGAAGGCGGCUCACUGGCCCGAAACUGACGCUGAGGUGCGAAAGCUAGGGGAGCGAACGGG
rnacentral:rRNA from 1 species